ensembl:misc_RNA predicted gene, 27999
CUACCUUAGACAAAGGAUGAUGCACUCGGAGCCCCGCCACACCUAAAACCACGUUUUGAAGGAUCUGCCAAGCUCACUUUUAAUCAUGAGAAAGAAAUUACCCACAUGGAGACAGCAGAAAAUGAGAAAGUAGAGCUCGUGCUGCGAAUAAUUCCGGCGAGUGCCAAGGGGCUAGUUGAGGAAUGGCUUCAUGAGG